GCUGGCGGCGUGCUUAACACAUGCAAGUCGAACGAUGAUCCCAGCUUGCUGGGGGAUUAGUGGCGAACGGGUGAGUAACACGUGAGUAACCUGCCCUUGACUCUGGGAUAAGCCUGGGAAACCGGGUCUAAUACUGGAUAUGACCUUCUGGCGCAUGCCAUGUUGGUGGAAAGCUUUAUUGCGGUUUUGGAUGGACUCGCGGCCUAUCAGCUUGUUGGUGGGGUAAUGGCCUACCAAGGCGACGACGGGUAGCCGGCCUGAGAGGGUGGACGGCCACACUGGGACUGAGACACGGCCCAGACUCCUACGGGAGGCAGCAGUGGGGAAUAUUGCACAAUGGGCGCAAGCCUGAUGCAGCGACGCCGCGUGGGGGAUGAAGGCCUUCGGGUUGUAAACCUCUUUCAGUAGGGAAGAAGCGAAAGUGACGGUACCUGCAGAAGAAGCGCCGGCUAACUACGUGCCAGCAGCCGCGGUAAUACGUAGGGCGCAAGCGUUAUCCGGAAUUAUUGGGCGUAAAGAGCUCGUAGGCGGUUUGUCGCGUCUGCCGUGAAAGUCCGGGGCUUAACUCCGGAUCUGCGGUGGGUACGGGCAGACUAGAGUGAUGUAGGGGAGACUGGAAUUCCUGGUGUAGCGGUGAAAUGCGCAGAUAUCAGGAGGAACACCGAUGGCGAAGGCAGGUCUCUGGGCAUUAACUGACGCUGAGGAGCGAAAGCAUGGGGAGCGAACAGGAUUAGAUACCCUGGUAGUCCAUGCCGUAAACGUUGGGCACUAGGUGUGGGGAAAUUCCCCGUUUCCCCCCC
rnacentral:rRNA from 1 species